rnacentral:rRNA from 1 species
AGUGAACGCUGGCGGUAGGCCUAACACAUGCAAGUCGAACGGCAGCACAGUAAGUUCUUGCUCUUACGGGUGGCGAGUGGCGGACGGGUGAGGUAUACAUCGUAAUCUACUUUUUCGUGGGGGUUAACGUAGGGAAACUUACGCUCAUAUCGCAUACGACCUACGGUUGAAAGCAGGGGAUCUUCGGACCUUGCGCGAUUGAAUGAGCCGAUGUCGGAUUAGCUAGUUGGCGGGGUAAAGGCCCACCAAGGCGACGAUCCGUAGCUUGUCUGAGAGGAUGAUCAGCCACACUGGAACGGAGACACGGUCCAGACUCCUACGGGAGGCAGCAGUGGGGAAUAGUGGACAAUGGGCGCAAGCCUGAUCCAGCCAUACCGCGUGGGUGAAGAAGGCCUUCGGGUUGGAAAGCCCUUUUGUUGGGAAAGAAAAGCAGCAGGUUAAUACCCCGCUGUUCUGACGGUACCCAAAGAAUAAGCACCGGCUAACUUCGUG